rnacentral:rRNA from 1 species
GUACACAAAAAUGCACAUAUUGUGAGCUCGAUGAGUAGGGCGGGACACGUGGUAUCCUGUCUGAAUAUGGGGGGACCAUCCUCCAAGGCUAAAUACUCCUGACUGACCGAUAGUGAACCAGUACCGUGAGGGAAAGGCGAAAAGAACCCCGGCGAGGGGAGUGAAAAAGAACCUGAAACCGUGUACGUACAAGCAGUGGGAGCCUCUUAAUGGGGUGACUGCGUACCUUUUGUAUAAUGGGUCAGCGACUUAUAUUCUGUAGCAAGGUUAACCGAAUAGGGGAGCCGAAGGGAAACCGAGUCUUAACUGGGCGUUAAGUUGCAGGGUAUAGACCCGAAACCCGGUGAUCUAGCCAUGGGCAGGUUGAAGGUUGGGUAACACUAACUGGAGGACCGAACCGACUAAUGUUGAAAAAUUAGCGGAUGACUUGUGGCUGGGGGUGAAAGGCCAAUCAAACCGGGAGAUAGCUGGUUCUCCCCGAAAGCUAUUUAGGUAGCGCCUCGUGAAUUCAUCUCCGGGGGUAGAGCACUGUUUCGGCAAGGGGGUCAUCCCGACUUACCAACCCGAUGCAAACUGCGAAUACCGGAGAAUGUUAUCACGGGAGACACACGGCGGGUGCUAACGUCCGUCGUGAAGAGGGAAACAACCCAGACCGCCAGCUAAGGUCCCAAAGUCAUGGUUAAGUGGGAAACGAUGUGGGAAGGCCCAGACAGCCAGGAUGUUGGCUUAGAAGCAGCCAUCAUUUAAAGAAAGCGUAAUAGCUCACUGGUCGAGUCGGCCUGCGCGGAAGAUGUAACGGGGCUAAACCAUGCACCGAAGCUGCGGCAGCGACACUAUGUGUUGUUGGGUAGGGGAGCGUUCUGUAAGCCUGUGAAGGUGUACUGUGAGGUAUGCUGGAGGUAUCAGAAGUGCGAAUGCUGACAUAAGUAACGAUAAAGCGGGUGAAAAGCCCGCUCGCCGGAAGACCAAGGGUUCCUGUCCAACGUUAAUCGGGGCAGGGUGAGUCGACCCCUAAGGCGAGGCCGAAAGGCGUAGUCGAUGGGAAACAGGUUAAUAUUCCUGUACUUGGUGUUACUGCGAAGGGGGGACGGAGAAGGCUAUGUUGGCCGGGCGACGGUUGUCCCGGUUUAAGCGUGUAGGCUGGU